AGCAGCCGCGGUAAUUCCAGCUCCAAUAGCGUAUAUUAAAGUUGUUGCAGUUAAAAAGCUCGUAGUUGAAUUUCGGGAUUGACACAUCGGUCGUGCCUUAAGGGGUAUGAACUGGUGUAGUCAAUUUCUCACCUUCUGGAGAACCGCGAUGCCCUUAAUUGGGUGUCACGGGGAACCAGGACCUUUACUUUGAAAAAAUUAGAGUGUUUAAAGCAGGCAUUUUGCUUGAAUACAUUAGCAUGGAAUAAUAAAAUAGGACGGCAUGAUUCUAUUUUGUUGGUUUCUAGGAUCACCGUAAUAAUUAAUAGGGAUAGUUGGGGGCAUUAGUAUUCAAUUGUCAGAGGUGAAAUUCUUGGAUUUAUUGAAGACUAACUACUGCGAAAGCAUUUGCCAAGGAUGUUUUCAUUAAUCAAGAACGAAAGUUAGGGGAUCGAAGACGAUCAGAUACCGUCGUAGUCUUAACCAUAAACUAUGCCGACUAGGAAUCAGACGAUGUUAAUUUUUAAUGACUCGUUUGGCA
rnacentral:rRNA from 1 species